AAAUAAGAAAUUGACCUUCAAAAUCUAGUAAACAUUUACUGGGUAGGAACUGGAGGACCCAUGUUUUGAAUGCUGUUGAUACUAUAUUUCUGUCCACAGCUGCAGUUGUAUUAGCAACUGACACAUUCUGAAACUCUUGGUGGCCCAGAAGGGCACACGAGGCCUGGAAGCAGGGGCAGUCUGGGGUAACAAGUGCAGUGGGGAGGCAGGGGCACGCCUUGGUCAGAUGGAAACUGGGGCAGGCAGUGAAAGGCCGGUGUCCCUGUGAUUGCUAGAAGGAGCACAGCUGUGACCAUAACAUCCCUUCUCAGCCAGAGGAUGACACAGAAGCAGAAGGACAAAAUUGAGGGGCUGCAAAGAUUCAUGAGGUUCAAUCUGCAAAAUCUUCUCAGAGCUUUGGAAGAAAAUACAGUCCAAGAAUACAAGGCACAUAACACUUUUAAGAGAAGGCUUAGAAAAAUGAAGUCACUUCCCUGGAGCAACAGAAGACAUCAGCCCUCAUGAGAGGCAAGGAUCCUGGAAACCAGAGCACGGGGCAAUCCCAAUCGAAGAGGAAGAGCACGAAGUAGCUCUCCACCAAGGCUUCCUGAGGAGCAAACUACGGAAUGCUUCUCUGUACAGUGCCAACUGGUCUGUAGGCCAUGCGUCUACUUAUGCAUGACAGGGCAAAAGACAUCAGAAAGGAAACCAUAAAGAACAGGAUUUCUUAA